CGACAUAUCUUUCUGACUCUGAGCUAAUGAUGAGAGAAUCAAACAUUGCCUGAUAUGCUAAAUGUAGACAAUCUUGAAUUCCUCGUUACUGAAGUUCAUGAGCUCGUGUCCUUUCUGCCUU
rnacentral:pre_miRNA from 1 species